rnacentral:tRNA from 1 species
UGGGGGCUAGUGUAACGGUAGCACUGCAGACUCUGGAUCUGCCUGUCUAGGUUCGAAUCCUAGGCCCCCAGCCC